UACAGAGGAGCCAAGCGUUGUCCGGAUUGACUGGGCGUAAAGCGCACGCAGGCGGUCUGGCGCGUGGGGUGUGAAAUCUGGCCGCUUAACGGCCAGGCGCCAUCCCAUACGGCCGGACUGGAGUGAUGCAGAGGUCGGUGGAAUUGCCGGUGUAGUGGUGAAAUGCGUAGAGAUCGGGAGGAACAGCAGUGGCGAAGGCGGCCAUCUGGGACAACACUGACGCUGAGGCACGAAAGCGUGGGGAGCAAACAGG
rnacentral:rRNA from 1 species